rnacentral:pre_miRNA from 1 species
AUGCCUGAAAUCUUGACUCAGUCCACUUGCCAAUGCUGAGCUGGUGAGCAAAGUUUCAGGUAUAU